CCAAGAUACCCGUAACAAUUGAAGCUAUAAAGGUGCCGAGGAUAGCAAAUGUGACAAUUGCUCCAAAAUUCGAGAAAAAUGGUUUCUGCAAAUGAAUAACACCAUUAACACCAAGUCAAAAGGCUUGUCCUAGAGAACAGAAGACUUGUUUGGGUAGAGGCAAAAAAGAGUUUCUGAGAGCUUCUCUACUGGAAAUAUAGAGGGAUUCUUUUCUCGGUAAACAAAUUCUCAAAAGACGUUCUAGCUUCGUAUCCAAACAAGCUAAAACACAUGUCUAGACAAAAGAGCACAGUGGAGGAACUCACAG
rnacentral:lncRNA from 1 species